GACGAACGCUGGCGGCGUGCUUAACACAUGCAAGUCGAACGGAAAGGCCCUGCUUUUGUGGGGUGCUCGAGUGGCGAACGGGUGAGUAACACGUGAGUAACCUGCCCUUGACUUUGGGAUAACUUCAGGAAACUGGGGCUAAUACCGGAUAGGAGCUCCUGCUGCAUGGUGGGGGUUGGAAAGUUUCGGCGGUUGGGGAUGGACUCGCGGCUUAUCAGCUUGUUGGUGGGGUAGUGGCUUACCAAGGCUUUGACGGGUAGCCGGCCUGAGAGGGUGACCGGCCACAUUGGGACUGAGAUACGGCCCAGACUCCUACGGGAGGCAGCAGUGGGGAAUAUUGCACAAUGGGCGGAAGACUGAUGCAGCAACGCCGCGUGCGGGAUGACGGCCUUCGGGUUGUAAACCGCUUUCGCCUGUGACGAAGCGUGAGUGACGGUAAUGGGUAAAGAAGCACAGGCUAACUACGUG
rnacentral:rRNA from 1 species